GCUGAGCACGGUGGCGCGUGCCUGUAGUCCCAGCUACUCGGGAGGCUGAGGUGGGAGGAUCGCCUGAGUCCAGGAGUUCGGGGCUGUAGUGCGUUAUGCAGAUCAGGGGUCCGCACUAAAUUCAGCAUCAAUAUGGUGACCUCCCGGGAGCGGGGGACCACUAGGUUGCCUAAGGAGGGGUGAACCGGCCCAGGUUGGAAACAGAGCAGGUCAAAACUACCGUGCUGAUCAGCAGUGGGAUCGUGCCUGUGAGUAGCCACUGUACUCCAGCCUGGGCAACAUAGCGAGACCCCAUCUCU
ensembl:misc_RNA Metazoa_SRP Metazoan signal recognition particle RNA